rnacentral:rRNA from 1 species
GGGGGAUNUGGAGGGGAAGACUGUCGCUGGCUUUCACUGGGAAGCAUGUGCACGCCUUUCGUUUCGUCGACCUUUCUCUUACUCUCACACCUGUGCACACAUUGUAGGUCCUCGAAAGAGGAUCUAUGUCUUUAUCAUCACACACAUAGCAUGUCUAGAAUGUAUCAUGAUCGUCGACCGACUUUGCGGUCGGGCGGUGGUCAAACAAAUAAAUACAACUUUCAGCAAAGGAUCUCUUGGCUCUCGCAUCGAUGAAGAACGCAGCGAAUUGCGAUAAGUAAUGUGAAUUGCAGAUUUUCAGUGAAUCAUCGAAUCUUUGAACGCACCUUGCGCUCCUUGGUAUUCCGAGGAGCAUGCCUGUUUGAGUGUCAUUGAAUUCUCAACCAUGUCUUGAUUGAUUUCGAGGCAUGGCUUGGACUUGGGGGUUGCUGGCGGCGAAAGCGGUCGGCUCUCCUGAAAUGCAUUAGCAAAGGACAGCAAGUCUGACGUGCACGGCCUUGACGUGAUA